AUACCAUAUCAAGGGUUCGAGAGAUGGUUUCCUUCAUUUAGGCUGGAACGGUGACGGGUGCUGCAUGGCUGUCGUCCGCUCGUGGCGUGAGAGGUUGGGUUAAGUCCCGCAACGAGCGCAACCCUCGCCCUUAGUUGCCAUCAUUCAGUUGGGCACUCUAAGGGGACUGCCGGUGAUAAGCCGAGAGGAAGGUGGGGAUGACGUCAAGUCCUCAUGGCCCUUACGGGCUGGGCUACACACGUGCUACAAUGGUGGUGACAGUGGGCAGCGAGACCGCGAGGUCGAGCUAAUCUCCAAAAGCCAUCUCAGUUCGGAUUGCACUCUGCAACUCGAGUGCAUGAAGUUGGAAUCGCUAGUAAUCGUGGAUCAGAAUGCCACGGUGAAUACGUUCCCGGGUCUUGUACACACCGA
rnacentral:rRNA from 1 species